rnacentral:sRNA from 1 species
AUUCUAGUUCUUAUACUCAAUCAUACACAUGACAUGUAGUCAUAUUUGACUCUGAAACAAUAACCAAGCUUU